GUCAUAUUGAACAUGCUGUCCUGCCUGUAGGUUCACUCAGAUGGGCUGAGAUAGCUGUAAACACAUACGUAGGCUUUGUUCACAUGUUGAAAUUCCUGAGCAGAACCUGACGAAAAAAUUCUGCUUGAAAAAUUUCUGGGUCAAUGACCUUUACGUCUGUAUGAUCCCUGAGCUGUGCUGAGAAGAGCCAAGAUGAAGCCGGGGCCUCCAGGAAAUACACAGACGGCUGUGAAGCUGCACUCUUCUUGGAGCGCUAAAUGAAUGUCAUUUCUCAGAAAGCCUUGUUCCCAUGCCUGCCAAGAGCCACAGCCAUAUUAUCAGCUACAAGAGUCACAUGAGGUCACUACACCACAGGAAGGAGAGCCGGACGACAGGACAAGGCUGGACAUACAUCCAUAUCAUAAGGAUAAUAGCUUCCUGCUACUUGUGUAAUUGAAAGCACAAAAUACAUUAAGAUCAGAUGUUGAACUGAAAUACAAAAAUGAG